UACGUAGGUGACAAGCGUUGUCCGGAUUUAUUGGGCGUAAAGAGCGUGUAGGCGGCCAGGUAGGUCUGGUGUGAAAACUCGAGGCUUAACCUCGAGAUGUCAUCGGAAACCAUUUGGCUAGAGUCCGGAAGAGGAGAGUGGAAUUCCUGGUGUAGCGGUGAAAUGCGCAGAUAUCAGGAAGAACACCCGUGGCGAAGGCGGCUCUCUGGGACGGUACUGACGCUGAGACGCGAAAGCGUGGGGAGCGAACAGG
rnacentral:rRNA from 1 species